AUUGAACGCUGGCGGCAGGCCUAACACAUACAAGUCGAGCGGAUGAAGGGAGCUUGCUCCUGGAUUCAGCGGCGGACGGGUGAGUAAUGCCUAGGAAUCUGCCUGGUAGUGGGGGAUAACGUCCGGAAACGGGCGCUAAUACCGCAUACGUCCUGAGGGAGAAAGUGGGGGAUCUUCGGACCUCACGCUAUCAGAUGAGCCUAGGUCGGAUUAGCUAGUUGGUGGGGUAAAGGCCUACCAAGGCGACGAUCCGUAACUGGUCUGAGAGGAUGAUCAGUCACACUGGAACUGAGACACGGUCCAGACUCCUACGGGAGGCAGCAGUGGGGAAUACUGGACAAUGGGCGAAAGCCUGAUCCAGCCAUGCCGCGUGUGUGAAGAAGGUCUUCGGAUUGUAAAGCACUUUAAGUUGGGAGGAAGGGCAGUAAGUUAAUACCUUGCUGUUUUGACGUUACCAACAGAAUAAGCACCGGCUAACUUCGUG
rnacentral:rRNA from 1 species